UACGUAGGGUGCAAGCGUUGUCCGGAAUUAUUGGGCGUAAAGAGCUCGUAGGCGGUCUGUCACGUCGAAUGUGAAAACCCGGGGCUCAACCCCGGGCCUGCAUUCGAUACGGGCAGACUAGAGUUCGGUAGGGGAGUCUGGAAUUCCUGGUGUAGCGGUGAAAUGCGCAGAUAUCAGGAGGAACACCGGUGGCGAAGGCGGGACUCUGGGCCGAUACUGACGCUGAGGAGCGAAAGCGUGGGGAGCAAACAGG
rnacentral:misc_RNA from 1 species